rnacentral:rRNA from 1 species
CCCUUAGAUGUUCUGGGCGACCCGCGCACUACAUUGGCACUGGCAACAAGAUCCUAGAUCUGAUAUUUCGGGGUAUUCUACCAACUGGUGUCGUGACUGGGAUUAACCCCUGCAAUUAUUGGUUAUGAACGAGGAAUGCCUUGUAAUCACGGUUUAUCAACCCGUGUUGAAUGCGUCCCUGCCCUUUGUACACACCGCCCGUCGCUCCUACCGAUGAAUCGUCCGGUGAAGUUCAUGGAGUCGCGGCUGCUCCAGCUGUUUUCGAAGUGAAAUGGACCUCAUGAUUUAGAGGAAGGAGAAGUCGUAACA